rnacentral:pre_miRNA from 1 species
UUAAGUCAAAUUUGUAUGGAGGUGGAAUGUUUGCCUAUUUUGCCGCUAGGGGCGCUGUUCGAACUCCAUACAAAUUUGAGUUA